rnacentral:lncRNA from 1 species
AUGUCCGUUUCCUGCAUAUGGUGGAAUCAUUUUCUUUGGCAGAAACAUGUCUCGUUCUUUUCUUGUGUCAGGCAGCAGAGCGGAUCACAGGACUACACUGGGCCAGGGCCGAGGCAGACAACCUGGCAAUCUCGCUAUUAUCCCCAUCCCCCUCCUGGCCUCUUGGCUGGAGGCAGAUUUUCCUUCCCUCCAGGAAAAACCCUCGUUCUUCUGCACGGAGUGCACUGCCCUCGCACAGGCUUUGAUUCAAAGAAUUUGAGUCUUAUCAUCAAAGAACUCCAAAUUAUCUCUCAUGACCAGCGGGUUUAUCUGAUCCUUUUUGCAGAAUCUGAAUACAAAGGUACUAAUUACAGUAACAUUUUAACUGCAUUACAUUUCACGCUUAUUUCUAAUUCCCUGGUUACUGUCGCCUUAGGUCUCUUUUAUCAUUAUUACUUUCUAAUUCUAGCUUACCUAAUAUCAAAGAUUAACACUGCUUCCUUUCUAGAUAUAUCCUCAUUAAUUUCCACACCUUUUCCCCCUAUCAUCUCCCAGCAAUCUGUAGGGACCCUCUGAAUUUUGUCUUAUUCCUCAUUGGUAUUUGUAACAAACAUCUCUCCAUUUAACAUCAUCUGAGAAUGUAAUUAACUUGCUCUUCUCUGUUUGAGGGCAGUGAUGAAGACAUUGAUGUGGAGUGACACUGGUGUCUCUGGAAGGACACUAGAAACCUUUUCUCCUUCUACACAUGUAACCAAUUUUCUCCUGUGAUCCUCGGCUCCCCCCAAUAUACCCAAAUCCUUGUCAAUUUAAAGUUCUUUAGUAACACCUCAUGGGAACUGAGAAAAGAUACAGCCAAGUGGCAAUGUUUUGUGUUCUUAUCAUUCGUAACACCCAGGAUUAUCAAGAUGGCAUACACUUAAGCAAUUCUUCAUGAUUUUUUCUGAAAUAAAUUAGAGAAAUGCUAAAUAAAAGUAGCUUUAUCUUCAUAUGGAAAAACAAAGGCAGAUAAAAGUCACAUUAGAACUGUAGUAAGUCAACUGAUUUAUUUAAACUUGUACUUAAGGAGAGGAUAUUUAUUGUUUUUAGAAGUCAGUAGGGAUAUGCACAAUAAUGUUUCAUGAACUGGAUUUUCUACAUGAGCAAAUUUUCCAGAUGAGUCUAGACAAUUGAAGCUUUAAGCCAUGGUCACAGGAAGGAAAUCUUAAGCACUGGAUACGAGUAAUAUUGUAUCAGGAAGAUACAGUUAUUUGGGUUUGAACUUGAUCCUGAAAACCCAGAUUAUAAUGUCAUGUUUUAUACAGAUUAAUAAAUCCAAAUGAAGCAUCUUCAUCUUCAUCAUUAAGCAAGGGUCACUGCUGUGAUGAUUAAGUGAGAGGCUUCACUGUCCAUGCUAUGCCACUAAUGAGAGGAAGCCAGGCAGCAGAAGCACGCGCUCAGCUGCGAUGCCCAGGGAACAGGGGCCAAAGGGUCUGCAGAGAGAGUGAACAGGGCAGCAGGAGUCAGGCUCUACUGCAGCUGUCACCACCUUGCUCUAUGACGCUGAGCUCACCUUUCUGGAACUGUUUCUUCUUUACAAUGAGUCGUCUUUCUAGCUACCAAUGGAGCCUGAAGUUAUGCCAGGCCAAAGGAUUACGCUCCUAUCAAUGCACCCACUUGGCAGUGUUCCUAAAAAGGUAGCGUUUUUCCAAGUAAAUUUACACAUCUUUGACUUGCAAAGUCAAUUAGGGAUGAAAGAAGGUAUAGAAAGAAACAGAAGCAAUCUGUAAGGUAAAGCAGAGACGCACUGAAAUGUUUUGCUGACUGAUUUUCCAUUGUCGACUCACAGCAGUCCAAUUGGCAUUUCAACAACUUUAUAUACUGAAAAUAUUUGAUCGUGAAAGUGAUUUAAUUUCCAGAAAUGCAGACAACCAUUACUAUUUCAGAACCA